rnacentral:rRNA from 1 species
UACCCGCGGCCCGAGUGGUGCUCAUUCUUAUUGAGUCUAAAACGUCCGUCGCCGGCUCGGUCGAUGCCUGGGUAAAUCGGAUCGCUCAACGGUCCGAAUUCCGGGUAGACCGCCGAGCUCGGGACCGGGAGAGGUGCGAGGUACGCCGGGGGUAGGGGUAAAAUCCUGUAAUCCUCGGCGGACCACCAGUGGCGAAGGCGUCGCACUAGAACGGAUCCGACGGUCAGGGACGAAGCCCAGGGGCGCAAACGGG